UGCUGAUUCCUCAGUAAUCUUACAGGUUUUAAACAUAAGUGAUAUAUAUUAUUGCAAGACCCAUGCACUUAGACAUUGUUGAUGUCCUACACCUCUAAGGUUGUCCUUGGCCUUUGUUAGUGGCCAACUAGCUUGUCUUAUGUGAGAUGUUUGAUUACAACAUUGAUUUAGUUGCCUCUAAGAUAGUACUAUAGAAAGAUAUUUCGUGAUGAAAUGAUGAAUUAACAAAGCUUUAGCAAGGCAUCAUGAACUUGAUGCUUAUUUUAUUAAGAAUACUAAAAAAAAUUCUCCACUGAUGCCAUAUCUUUUUCACUACUCUAGUAGUAAAAAGUACUAACAUAAUUAACUAUUAAUCAUUGAAUUUUUUUUUUAUCCUCUUUAAUGGUUCAAGAUACUAGGGACAGGCCUUAUCCAUUUUGCAGGUCUUAAUUGAUUUCUGCAAUAAGAAAUUGAAAUAAUAAAUAACAUGAUUGUUCAUUUCCAUUUGCUGUGGAUUACAAUUCAAAAUAUGUUUUUGUCAGUUGAGUGCAUGUUUGGUUUCAUCUUCUACUCUUUCCUUGUCUCCUUUUAAUGCUAAAUGUAAACUAUCAUAAUGAUUAGAAUGUUCAUGGCAAGGAACAAGAUCGAAACUACAUUUUUAGGAAACUUAGAGCUGCAUGGUGAGGAAAACAACACUCGCAAAUUCAUUCUUAAAAUAAUUGAGCUUAGUAAGAUAUUCUUUCUUUUUUCCUUCUGGGGAUCAGUAGGAAAGCAUGUUUCUCAGCCUUCCAAGUACGAAAAAGUAUGGGAUCACUACAUCAAAGAUUCUGUUCUAUGACUUUUCUCUUUAAUCUAUAUUACACUAGAGAGCUAUGUAUAUCUAGAAAAUAUGCUCACCUGUCAAGAAUUAACUUAAGAACCUGCAAAGUAUAUACUAAAAUCACAACAUAAAGCUCACUUUACUCACCAUAACGUUUGUAAAUGCAAGUUGAGGAAAUAUGUCGAAUUCAUUCAAAAUCUGAAACAUUGACUUUAGCUGUCACCUCAUUUACUGAUUUAUGAAAGUAUUGGGGCUUAAUAAUUCUGUAUGUUUGCUACUGAGGGUAUGUGGUUCCUUUGCAUAAACCUUAGACGAGAUCUCAAUAUGUAUAAUAUUUGAUUAAUAACUUCUCCAACGCUUGGAUUUCACCGUCCAUGUAUGUCUAAAUUCCUUUCUUGAAUCUUGACAAACAUGCAAAGUAUGUAAUUUUUUGUUCUGGAGCUAGAGUGUAGAGAAAGUUGCAUUGCAUGAAUAGAUAUUACACCAACCAACAAUGUAUUUUCUAUUUUCACUGGUCUAUUUCUAUCAUGCUGCUGUAUCUUUUGUUCCUUUUGGCAACCACUGAAACUCCCUUAUGCUUAGACUUUCUGCCCCCAUCUCAUCUCUUACUCCAUUAUUGUCUUCCUUUUUCCUUUUUUUUCCAGUCUUUUUCUUCAAGUGGAGUUAUUUCUGCAUCUGUUAAGCUGUCCAUUUUUUGUCUAGUUGCUUUUUGAUAGGGGUAAUCGCUGCUGAUCUCCAGUUGUCCACAGGCUAGUUUGGUUGAUGAGAACCAAGACAACAAUCAUGUACUUGUAUAGUGUAACAUCCGUGCAUUUUGGAAUGACAUGUUUGAUGCUUUCUGCCCUUCUCACUCUUUGAGAGUUUUAGUUCCAUGUGCCUAAUUGCAUUAGCCUACUGACUUUAGCCGUCCAUCAUACAUCAUGCAAGUAUUUUUCAGAUCACAACUUGACUAUAAUUUUCCUGUACCAUGCUUUUUGCUUUUGUCAUGGUUCAAGCGCCCAACUUACAACAUGAACUUUUUUCUAUUGCUAUCCCUAUGGAAUCCUGGAACAAGAUGUUAAGUCAUUGAUAGGCCCUCAACAUGUGUAGCCGUGUAGGUCCUUUAACUGUAGGUCUUGUAUGUAUGUGAUCUAUGCCAUGUGUGUUGUUGAGAUUGGUUUUCAUAUUGACUACUAUAUUAAGCUGUGGUUAGUCCACUUAACUAAGAUCAAUGUUGUCUUGGUACAACCUAUUUUCGCUGAUUUCAAGCCAUUCUGCUCUACCUUUUUUUUUCUUUGUCAUAUGCUGCAUAGAGUAGCUGCAUUCUAUAGAAUCAAUAUACAAUAUGCGACUCUUCUAUUUAUGCACCUAAGCAUAUUAUCAGUAUAUAUAUGCACCUAUUGUUCGUGCUACCUCGAUCUGUCAUUUUCAUGAUACUCAUAUGCCUGAACAUACAUGUAUUUCACCUUGGAUAUUCGAGAUAUAGUAGUACAUCUAUCUUUACUAGGCAGCUGAAGGUUUUUGGUUAAUUGGUUGAUGCAUCAUGCAUGGGACUCCGCUCUAACUUGUGCUGUUUAUUUUUACACAGGUGGUUCCCUUGUUUUACCGGAUUACAUUCCUUCCGAGCAGAACAUUUGAAGAGCAAAGGCGACAUGCUGCAUGGGAGCAAGAUGCACAUGUAGUUUGUCCUGUUAGUCGAAUCAAUCAGAUGCAUGCCUCACAGGGAUGGAAUGCUCGUGCAGUUCUUUCACUGUUUGAUCAAUCAUGCUUAGACAGAAAUGGUAAAAGGUCGAUCAGUUAAGUGUUCCCUGUUUUAGAACCUUUUCUUGGGUCAAUGAGAGGACGCACACAAGUUAUUUGCUCUCUUUAUUUUCCUUUCUCGUUUCCCUUUUUCAGUCUUGAUGUCCAUACACUAAACCAUACUCCAUACCUGUUCUUGCGAUGAAAGCGGUACGUUAUUUGCAGAAACGAUCUGAUUUGCGGUACACAGUAGAAAAAACUAUGCUCAUUGAGCUUAGUGAAGGAUCUGAAAGAGCUGCUCCUGCGCGCACACAGGGCGGUGGUGCUUCACAAGGGGAACAGAAUCCCACCAGGAGGCGUGAAACAGGACCUGUCGGUUAUGUCAGAUCCUGUGUUGAACAUGGUAGCACCCACAAGGGAAUGUCAUGUGCCAUCUCCACCACGCGCCGUGGAUUUGGAAUCGUUCUCUGGCGCUCUCGGAAUUCAGAGACCUUUCAUGCCGGACAUUAUUGAUGAACAAAGAUAAAGAUAUGCAUUCAACUAACUGACAGACUAGCUAACCCGAUAAGUACAUUAUUCGUUUGCACAAA